rnacentral:rRNA from 1 species
CCUACGGGUGGCAGCAGUGAGGAAUAUUGGUCAAUGGGCGGAAGCCUGAACCAGCCAAGUAGCGUGCAGGAUGACGGCCCUACGGGUUGUAAACUGCUUUUAUACGGGAAUAACGCGCCUUACGUGUAGGGCUUUGCAUGUACCGUGUGAAUAAGGACCGGCUAAAUCCGUGCCAGCAGCCGCGGUAAUACGGAAGGUCCGGGCGUUAUCCGGAUUUGUUGGGGUUAAAGGGUGGGGAGGCCGCAGCUCAAGCGUGCUGUGAAAUGGCCGGGCUCAACCCGGGCCUUGCGGGGCGAACUGGCGUGCUUGAGUCCGCGGAAAGCAGGCGGAAUUCGUCGGGUAGCGGUGAAAUGCUUAGAUAUGACGAAGAACCCCGAUUGCGAAGGCAGCUUGCUGCAGCGGAACUGACGCUGAAGCUCGAAGGCGCGGGUAUCGAACAGGAUUAGAUACCCGGGUAGUC